rnacentral:rRNA from 1 species
UUUAAUAUUUAAAGUUUGACCUGCUCAAUGAAAUUUAAAUAGCCGCAGUAUUUUGACUGUGCAAAGGUAGCAUAAUCAUUAGUUUCUUAAUUAGGAACUUGUAUGAAUGGUUGGAUGAGAAAUGAUCUGUCUCUGUGUAAUUUAAUUAGAAUUUUAUUUUUGAGUUAAAAAGCUUAAAUUUUUAUUAAAGACGAGAAGACCCUAUAGAGUUUGAUUUUUUUAAUUAUAUAAUUUUAUAAGUAUUAAAGUUUUAUGUAUUUAAAUUAAUUUUGUUGGGGUGACAGGAAAAAUAGUUUAACUUUUCUUUUUUUUUACAUUUAUUUAUGAUUUGUUGAUCCAAUAUUUUUGAUUAUAAGUUUAAAUUACCUUAGGGAUAACAGCGUAAUUUUUUUUGAGAGUUCUUAUCGAAAAAAAAGUUUGCGACCUCGAUGUUGGAUUAAAAUUUAGGGUUGGCGUAAAAGUUAAUCUUUUAAGUCUGUUCGACUUUUAAAAUUUUACGUGAUCU